rnacentral:rRNA from 1 species
UACAGAGGCCUCGAGCGUUAGGCGGAAUCACUGGGCUUAAAGCGUGUGUAGGUGGAUGCCUAAGUGCCUUGUGAAAUCCCACGGCUUAACCGUGGAAUUGCUGGGCAUACUGGGUGUCUUGAGCCACUCAGGGGCUACCGGAACAAAUGGUGGAGCGGUGAAAUGCGUAGAUAUCAUUUGGAACGCCAAUGGUGAAAACAGGUUGCUGGGGGGUGUGCUGACGCUGAGACACGAAAGCCAGGGGAGCGAACGGG